AACCAUUCUCACCUGCGGCUAGACCUGCGGAAGGAUCAUUACUGAGUGAGGGCCUUCGGGCUCGACCUCCAACCCUUUGUGAACACAACUUGUUGCUUCGGGGGCGACCCUGCCGUUUCGACGGCGAGCGCCCCCGGAGGCCUUCAAACACUGCAUCUUUGCGUCGGAGUUUAAGUAAAUUAAACAAAACUUUCAGCAAUGGAUCU
rnacentral:misc_RNA from 1 species